AACGAACGCUGGCGGCAGGCUUAACACAUGCAAGUCGAGCGCCCUGCAAGGGGAGCGGCAGACGGGUGAGUAACGCGUGGGAACGUACCCUUUUCUACGGAAUAACGCAGGGAAACUUGUGCUAAUACCGUAUACGCCCUUUUGGGGAAAGAUUUAUCGGGGAAGGAUCGGCCCGCGUUGGAUUAGCUAGUUGGUGGGGUAAAGGCCUACCAAGGCGACGAUCCAUAGCUGGUCUGAGAGGAUGAUCAGCCACAUUGGGACUGAGACACGGCCCAAACUCCUACGGGAGGCAGCAGUGGGGAAUAUUGGACAAUGGGCGCAAGCCUGAUCCAGCCAUGCCGCGUGAGUGAUGAAGGCCCUAGGGUUGUAAAGCUCUUUCACCGGAGAAGAUAAUGACGGUAUCCGGAGAAGAAGCCCCGGCUAACUUCGUGCCAGCAGCCGCGGUAGGAUGAGACGU
rnacentral:rRNA from 1 species